CAAAGGAAUUGACGGGGCCCGCACAAGCGGUGGAGCAUGUGGUUAAUUCGAAGCAACGCGAAGAACCUUACCAGGUCUUGACAUCCCGAUGCUAUUUCUAGAGAUAGAAAGUUACUUCGGUACAUCGGUGACAGGUGGUGCAUGGUUGUCGUCAGCUCGUGUCGUGAGAUGUUGGGUUAAGUCCCGCAACGAGCGCAACCCCUAUUGUUAGUUGCCAUCAUUCAGUUGGGCACUCUAGCGAGACUGCCGGUAAUAAACCGGAGGAAGGUGGGGAUGACGUCAAAUCACCAUGCCCCUUAUGACCUGGGCUACACACGUGCUACAAUGGUUGGUACAACGAGUUGCGAGUCGGUGACGGCGAGCUAAUCUCUUAAAGCCAAUCUCAGUUCGGAUUGUAGGCUGCAACUCGCCUACAUGAAGUCGGAAUCGCUAGUAAUCGCGGAUCAGCACGCCGCGGUGAAUACGUUCCCGGGCCUU
rnacentral:rRNA from 1 species